UUUGUCAAGUGGUAUUUCUUCAUUACAAGCGAUUACAUUAUGGUUAAUUUGAUAUGAGUCUAGGAUUUUAUUAGCUUCAUUUAUUUUGACUGCAUUACUUUCUGGAUUAACUGCAUUACUUUCUGGAUUAAACAUGUUUGUGAACAAAAUUGAGAGCUUCACAUAACACGCAUGCACACUCUUGAGUGUUUGAAAUCUAGUUGGAAGAUUCUCUUAUGAGAAACAAGUAGCUCUUAAAUCAUUGAUAUGUGUGGCAAACCUGCACAUACCAGCCAAUGGGGCCUAAUAUCAAGAUAGUUGAGCCUGCUUUUGUGUUCAAUGGAGGUUGUCAAACUAUGCAUUGAACAUCUUAUCUUUGUUCAUUUUCUUGUCUUCAUCUCAGUCCUCUGUUCCUUUGCUUUGAAGUGCGUUGAUUUUAACUGGUCAAUUUUCAGUUUCUUGGGGCAUGAACAUACAUAAAAUUUAAGAUGAAAAUGAAGGAAUAACUGAUGUAAAAUUAUGU
rnacentral:misc_RNA from 1 species